rnacentral:rRNA from 1 species
AACGAUUUCGGUUUACACCGUUUUCUACCUAUGUCUAUGCGUACCACACGUUUCCUCGGGGGGCUUGCUCCCCGCUAGGACUUACUAUCAACCUUUUUGCAAUAGCAGUCAGCGUCUGAUAAUAAUUGAAUUAUUAAAACUUUCAACAAUGGAUCUCUUGGUUCUGGCAUCGAUGAAGAACGCAGCGAAAUGCGAUAAGUAGUGUGAAUUGCAGAAUUCAGUGAAUCAUCGAAUCUUUGAACGCACAUUGCGCCCCUUGGUAUUCCAUGGGGCAUGCCUGUUCGAGCGUCAUUUGAACCCUCAAGCUCUGCUUGGUGUUGGGUGUUUGUCCCGCCUUUUGCGUGUGGACUCGCCUUAAAGUAAUUGGCAGCCAUGGAAUCCGGCUUUGAGCGCAGCACAUUGCGUACUUACUGGCGGUCCAUUGGCAUCCAAAAGCCCUUUUUUUUAACUCUUGACCUCGGAUCAGGUAGGGAUACC